GACGAACGCUGGCGGCGUGCUUAACACAUGCAAGUCGAACGAUGAAGCUGGAGCUUGCUCCGGUGGAUUAGUGGCGAACGGGUGAGUAACACGUGAGCAAUCUGCCCUUGACUCUGGGAUAACUGCGGGAAACUGUAGCUAAUACCGGAUACUUUCACUGGAAGGCAUCUUCUGGUGAAGAAAGAAUCUCGGUCAAGGAUGAGCUCGCGGCCUAUCAGCUUGUUGGUGCGGUAACGGCUCACCAAGGCGAAGACGGGUAGCCGGCCUGAGAGGGUGACCGGCCACACAGGGACUGAGACACGGACCAGACUCCUACGGGAGGCAGCAGUGGGGAAUAUUGCACAAUGGGCGCAAGCCUGAUGCAGCAACGCCGCGUGAGGGAUGAAGGCCUUCUGGUUGUAAACCUCUUUUAGCAGGGAAGAAGCGAAAGUGACGGUACCUGCAGAAAAAGCACCGGCUAACUACGUGCCAGCCGCCGCAGUAA
rnacentral:rRNA from 1 species